UGCCUGUCCUCCGCGGAAUGCGUCCUGUAGAGAAGCAGACGUGGGGUGCUUGCGCUGCCGGACGCUGACAACAGGCUUACAAUUCGCUUUCGUUCUUGAUUCGGUCCUUUUGAUGGGUGAACGAUGUCUUGGUGCGGCCAGAUCGUCCUGCUUCUGCGUCGUGGUUGUUGGCAUACAAUAGCAAACAAUGGAGAUGGACACCGCCGGUUCCAGCCGGGCCUGCAACACUAUAACAAAUUUCAGCAAGUUUUGUUUUAUAUUGCAAGUUCCCAUAUAUUGAUGACAGAAAUUUUCAGCAAUGCAUUGGUUCACUUACAAGCUGAUCUUUCUUUUCUGGUGACCUCAGAUUUUGAGUGCUGGAAAGAACAACAUACAUUCGUAAACGAUUGCUGCGUGAGAUUCAAGAUCAUAAACUAACGUAAAUCUAUUCCAUUGAUAUUGAUUAUGGAACACGAGUCUAUGGAAGAUCUAGCAAUUCAGGCUAAUUCUUUCUCUUGCAACGCUAUUGCUGAUCAGAGAUAUUCAGGUUGUUCUGGAAAUGUUAUUUUGGUUUUCAAUCAUUUGUCCUGAACUCCUAUUGCACUAUGAAGAUACUCCCUCCGUUCAAUUCAAGUCAAUUAAAAAGGAACGGAGGGAGUAUUUGCACAAGGUGAUUAUAUCUCCUGCACUUCUGAAUUCUGCAGGCAAAAUGGCUUCCAUUCAAGCAAGUUUUACAAGGAAGGCUCUUGAAUGGGUGAGGUUAACUUCACUAUUCUUUCCCUUCAGUAGUUCUGGUGAACAUGAUGAUUUCUGAUAAAGGUAAACAUGCUGAUUUCUUGACAUACAGAUUAACACCAUGCUACUAUACAUGCAAGACAUUUUUCUGUUCACAUAUUUCUUUUCACUUUAUUUUAGAUUGGGUUUAUAAGAAAUUCAUGUCUGUUUAAUGAGUAUGUGAGAUGUUCCCAGGUUUUGUGUAAUAUAUAAGAAGUAGCUCAGCUAUGUUAAUUGUUUAUUUUGUCAACAUAUCUACUGAUAGCCAUUAAAUUUUUCGUUCAUAUGUAUCUAUACUUUUAUCCUAUUUCAUGUUUGUGCAAUGAUCUGCUGGGUUGUUAGUGCAAAGGGGGUCAACUACCUCUUGCUUGCUCGAAACCUUUCAUAUGGGAAUCCGAUCUGAGAAUCGUUUAGUUCAUAGUGUGGUGCAUCUGUUUAGUUGAUAGCAUAAAGUACUACUUUGUCACAAAAGCCAAUUUCCCAUCUUAUUGGAUGAUUUCCUAAUUAUAUGAAUCAGGGUUGGAAGCAGGCAAACUAUUCAGUAAGAUUUAAGUAGUUACUUACCUCAUGAUAAAAAAAUUAGUAUUGCUUCCUGCAUUUUUUAUUUUAUUUUAGGGCGAUGUCGUUCACUACAUGAAUGAUUCAAGAAUAUUAAUUAUUUAGUGUGUUUGAUAUCUCUUCCAUGUAGUCUACAGUAUUGCUUAUGUCAGUUCUUCCUACAAUCUCGGAUGAUAUUUACCCAGGAUUGUUUGAGCAGGUGAUAUUUAUUCGCUUUACCAGCAUGGAGAAUGAUUUCUACUUCCUACAGUGGUGCUUUCCAUCAUUAAAUAAAAAAGAUAUUUGAAGGUGUAUGUGUUAGAUUUUUCCCCGCAGUCUUGAAUAGUUCUGACCCGCACCCGGUUUGUUGAGCAUGUGAUUUGCUAAGGGAACGUGCUUAUCCUAGGAUACUCGGGCCUACUUUAAGAGCAAAGAGAACACAGAUGGCAUGGGUAACACAACCUGCACAUACUCAACGAAAUGGAUAUUACUAGGUCAUUGUUAUGUUGUCAGUAUGUUUCUAUAUUGUGGCGCUUCCUACUGGUACCAAGAGGGUAACAAAUGUUUGAGCAAAAAAUACCAUUGUGUAUAUACAGGUUGCUGCCACGGUGGACGGGUCAGUUCGCUUUAUGCGCAACAUUCGCGAACGUAACUCCAUGUUUUGUUUUAUGUCUCUUGGCGCUCAUGUUGACACAAAGAUCUGUGGAGCUGUUUUUCAUAACAUUGGUUCUUUGCUAUCUCCUGAGAGUGAUCACCCUAAGUUUGCUCAGUUGUAUUUUAUGACAACCAAAAUGAGCUGGAUAAUAGGAUGGGAAUAUUUGGACCAGAUGAUGACGUCGACGAUGGCGCUGCUGAUAAUAAGGUUGCUGGGGUGAAUGGGUAGUCAUCGCGUGAUUGCGCCCUUCUAUUAUUUGAGUAUAGGUUACUUCAACUUAGCGGCUAAUGCUUUUUGUUCAUGUUUAUUCUGUUUUUGUGCUCAGGUUUCGUUCUACGAUGAAGCUAUUGAUGCCAUCAUUAAGAGUCUCUUCCUGUUUAGGUUCAUUGUCAUAUUCAGUAGUCCAUCCAAAAAACGCAACUCCAGUUCAUGGUUACUCUGUUCAAAAGCUAUGUUCAGAAGCUCAAGACCUAAAGUUGCUUAAUGCACUCAGUUCAAUAGAAGGAUUUCCUGAACGUUUUUAGGCAGUAGAAAAAGCAUACAGCCGCUUCUUUGUUUUGUACAUUUCCAGGCGAUGCCCUGACAGCUACAUCCGACUGUUUGAUCCGUAUUGUGUGUUAUCCUGCCUAUGUCCAU